CAAGGCGAACCGGGGGAACUGAAACAUCUAAGUACCCCGAGGAAAAGAAAUCAACCGAGAUUCCCCCAGUAGCGGCGAGCGAACGGGGAGGAGCCCAGAACCUGAAUCAGCGUAUGUGUUAGUGGAAGCGUCUGGAAAGUCGCACGGUACAGGGUGAUAGUCCCGUACACAAAAAUGCAUAUGUUGUGAGUUCGAUGAGUAGGGCGGGACACGUGACAUCCUGUCUGAAUAUGGGGGGACCAUCCUCCAAGGCUAAAUACUCCUGACUGACCGAUAGUGAACCAGUACCGUGAGGGAAAGGCGAAAAGAACCCCGGCGAGGGGAGUGAAAUAGAACCUGAAACCGUGUACGUACAAGCAGUGGGAGCACCUUCGUGGUGUGACUGCGUACCUUUUGUAUAAUGGGUCAGCGACUUAUAUUUUGUAGCAAGGUUAACCGAAUAGGGGAGCCGUAGGGAAACCGAGUCUUAACUGGGCGAAUAGUUGCAAGGUAUAGACCCGAAACCCGGUGAUCUAGCCAUGGGCAGGUUGAAGGUUGGGUAACACUAACUGGAGGACCGAACCGACUAAUGUUGAAAAAUUAGCGGAUGACUUGUGGCUGGGGGUGAAAGGCCAAUCAAACCGGGAGAUAGCUGGUUCUCCCCGAAAGCUAUUUAGGUAGCGCCUCGUGAACUCAUCUUCGGGGGUAGAGCACUGUUUCGGCUAGGGGGUCAUCCCGACUUACCAAACCGAUGCAAACUCCGAAUACCGAAGAAUGUUAUCACGGGAGACACACGGCGGGUGCUAACGUCCGUCGUGAAGAGGGAAACAACCCAGACCGCCAGCUAAGGUCCCAAAGUCAUGGUUAAGUGGGAAACGAUGUGGGAAGGCAUAGACAGCCAGGAUGUUGGCUUAGAAGCAGCCAUCAUUUAAAGAAAGCGUAAUAGCUCACUGGUCGAGUCGGCCUGCGCGGAAGAUGUAACGGGGCUAAACCAUGCACCGAAGCUGCGGCAGCGACGCUUAGGCGUUGUUGGGUAGGGGAGCGUUCUGUAAGCCGUUGAAGGUGACCUGUGAGGGUUGCUGGAGGUAUCAGAAGUGCGAAUGCUGACAUAAGUAACGAUAAUGCGGGUGAAAAACCCGCACGCCGGAAGACCAAGGGUUCCUGUCCAACGUUAAUCGGGGCAGGGUGAGUCGACCCCUAAGGCGAGGCUGAAAAGCGUAGUCGAUGGGAAACAGGUUAAUAUUCCUGUACUUGGUGUUACUGCGAAGGGGGGACGGAGAAGGCUAGGCUAGCCGGGCGACGGUUGUCCCGGUUUAAGCAUGUAGGCGGAGUGACUUGGUAAAUCCGGUUGCUUAUCAACGCUGAGGUGUGAUGACGAGUCACUACGGUGGUGAAGUAGUUGAUGCCAAGCUUCCAGGAAAAGCCUCUAAGCAUCAGGUAACAUUAAAUCGUACCCCAAACCGACACAGGUGGUCAGGUAGAGAAUACUCAGGCGCUUGAGAGAACUCGGGUGAAGGAACUAGGCAAAAUGGUGCCGUAACUUCGGGAGAAGGCACGCUGGCAUUAGGUAAAGAGACUUGCUCUCGGCGCCGAAGCCAGUCGCAGAUACCAGCUGGCUGCAACUGUUUAAUAAAAACACAGCACUGUGCAAACACGAAAGUGGACGUAUACGGUGUGACGCCUGCCCGGUGCUGGAAGGUUAAUUGAUGGGGUCAGCCGCAAGGCGAAGCUCUUGAUCGAAGCCCCAGUAAACGGCGGCCGUAACUAUAACGGUCCUAAGGUAGCGAAAUUCCUUGUCGGGUAAGUUCCGACCUGCACGAAUGGCGUAAUGAUGGCCAGGCUGUCUCCACCCGAGACUCAGUGAAAUUGAACUCGCUGUGAAGAUGCAGUGUACCCGCGGCAAGACGGAAAGACCCCGUGAACCUUUACUAUAGCUUGACACUGAACAUUGAGCCUUGAUGUGUAGGAUAGGUGGGAGGCAUUGAAGUGUGGACGCCAGUCUGCAUGGAGCCAACCUUGAAAUACCACCCUUUAAUGU
rnacentral:rRNA from 1 species